rnacentral:rRNA from 1 species
UCGGGAAUUUUGGGCAAUGGGCGAAAGCCUGACCCAGCAACGCCGCGUGAAGGAUGAAAUUUUUCGGAAUGUAAACUUCGCAAGAACGGGAAGAAUAAGUAGAAGAUAAUACCUUCUAUGAUGACGGUACCGUUUGUAAGCUCCGGCUAACUCCGUGCCAGCAGCCGCGGUAAUACGGGGGGAGCAAGCGUUGUUCGGAUUUACUGGGCGUAAAGGGCGCGUAGGCGGUCGUGACAAGUCACUUGUGAAAUCUCCGGGCUUAACUCGGAACGGUCAAGUGAUACUGUCGGACUAGAGUACAGAAGGGGCAACUGGAAUUCUCGGUGUAGCGGUGAAAUGCGUAGAUAUCGAGAGGAACACCUGCGGCGAAGGCGGGUUGCUGGGCUGAUACUGACGCUGAGGCGCGAAAGCCAGGGGAGCGAACGGG